GACGUAGGGCGCGAGCGUUGUCCGGAUUUAUUGGGCGUAAAGAGCUCGUAGGCGGCUUGUCGCGUCGACUGUGAAAUCCCGCGGCUCAACUGCGGGUCUGCAGUCGAUACGGGCAGGCUAGAGUUCGGUAGGGGAGACUGGAAUUCCUGGUGUAGCGGUGAAAUGCGCAGAUAUCAGGAGGAACACCGAUGGCGAAGGCAGGUCUCUGGGCCGAUACUGACGCUGAGGCGCGAAAGCUAGGGGAGCGAACGGG
rnacentral:rRNA from 1 species